UAGGGAAUCUUCCGCAAUGGACGAAAGUCUGACGGAGCAUCGCCGCGUGAGUGAUGAAGGCUUUCGGGUCGUAAAACUCUGUUGUUAGGGAAGAACAAGUGCUAGUUGAAUAAGCUGGCACCUUGACGGUACCUAACCAGAAAGCCACGGCUAACUACGUGCCAGCAGCCGCGGUAAUACGUAGGUGGCAAGCGUCAUCCGGAAUUAUUGGGCGUAAAGCGCGCGCAGGUGGUUUCUUAAGUCUGAUGUGAAAGCCCACGGCUCAACCGUGGAGGGUCAUUGGAGACUGGGAGACUUGAGUGCAGAAGAGGAAAGUGGAAUUCCAUGUGUAGCGGUGAAAUGCGUAGAGAUAUGGAGGAACACCAGUGGCGAAGGCAACUUUCUGGACUGUAACUGACACUGACGCGCGAAAGCGUGG
rnacentral:rRNA from 1 species